UACGAAGGGGGCUAGCGUUGUUCGGAAUUACUGGGCGUAAAGCGCACGUAGGCGGAUUGUUAAGUUAGGGGUGAAAUCCCAGGGCUCAACCCUGGAACUGCCUCUAAUACUGGCAAUCUAGAGUCCGGAAGAGGUGAGUGGAAUUCCGAGUGUAUAGGUGAAAUUCGUAGAUAUUCGGAGUAACACCAGUGGCGAAGGCGGCUCACUGGUCCGGUACUGACGCUGAGGUGCUAAAGCGUGGGGAGCAAACUGG
rnacentral:rRNA from 1 species